rnacentral:rRNA from 1 species
UACGGAAGGCAGCAGUGGGGAAUAUUGCACAAUGGGCGAAAGCCUGAUGCAGCUAUGCCGCGUGUAUGAAGAAGGCCUUAGGGUUGUAAAGUACUUUCAUCGGGGAGGAAAAACAAAACUAAUAAUUUUAUUUCUUGACGUUACCCGAAAAAGAAGCACCGGCUAACUCCGUGCCAGCAGCCGCGGUAAUACGGAGGGUGCUAGCGUUAAUCAGAAUUACUGGGCGUAAAGAGCACGUAGGUGGUUUUUUUAAGUCAGAUGUGAAAUCCCUGGGCUUAACCUAGGAACUGCAUUUUGAAACUGAAAUACUAGAGUAUCGUAGAGGGAGGUAGAAUUCUAGGUGUAGCGGUGAAAUGCGUAGAUAUCUGGAGGAAUACCUGUGGCGAAAGCGGCCUCCUAAACGAAUACUGACACUGAAGGUGCGAAAAGCGUGGGGAGCAAAACAGGGAUUAGAUACC